UACGAAUGGGGCAAGCGUUGUUCGGAAUAACUGGGCUUAAAGCGUGCGUAGGCGGUUCUGCAAGUCAGAAGUGAAAGCCCCGGGCUUAACCUGGGAAUUGCAUUUGAAACUGCAGAUCUAGAGACCGGUAGAGGUUGGCGGAAUUCCGAGUGUAGAGGUGAAAUGCGCAGAUAUUCGGAGGAACACCAGUGGCGAAGGCGGCCAACUGGACCGGCAUUGACGCUGAGGCACGAAAGCGAGGGUAGCAAACAGG
rnacentral:rRNA from 1 species